CUUUUUUUUUUUUCAGGAAAAAACAGCUUUACCGACUUUUCUUGUGCUUGAGACCAUUCAGUAUCCCUAAUCUCUUUUGCUUCACAGGAAACCUUGCUCCUGGAUCUGAUAUCUUUCGCGCUUCUCAUGUUUUUUUGGCAUGUCUCGAUGGUUCUAUUUCAGUUCGAUGUUACCUUGAAUACGAAUGGAAUACGAAGACAUGAGAUCAGAUUCUCAAGUCCGUUCCAGUUACUAUCACCAAAACAAACAUCAUGCUCUCAGAUCGUAUAUCUUCAGGAGAUUAUCUGAAUUUGAGAUAUAUAUAACACAAAGAAUGUAAGAAGAAACCCACAACAAAACCAAACCUCAAGUGUAUAAUGGAAGGAUGACUAUUUGAUCUAUUCUUCACAAACGGUUGUGUUUGUUGGUCUCGAGCUUCUUAAAAGAAGUUAAGUUGAUCGAAUCAGAACAAUAAGUCUGUUAGUAUACAAUCAUUAAGAAAUUAUGUUAUAUUCUCAAACCAAAUUUUAAGCCUUAUUCUACAAAUUUUUACAGGACCUUAUAAUAGAGAUACAUGAGUCAGCAACAAAAAGUGGAGAAUUAUGUUAGAAUGCUACAUAGAGAGCGGCUAGAGACUGAAACUGUAACAACAUGAAUAGUAGACAUUUCCAGUUUGCAGCGCAAAGCAAGGUAAAAGGACGCAUGAGGGGGAGAGUUAAAUUAAAUUUGGUUCAGUCGGUUUACGUUAAAUUUGUAUUGAGCUGGUUUAUUUAUGUUAACGAAAAGCGCUGGCUAUGGAAGUUAAUGAAACGACAGAGGAUUAGGUCAGUGGCACGAGGAUGUAAAUAAAUAGGACAUCUCAGGUUAUUUUCUUUUUGUACUCAUAUUUUAAUAGAUUGGAUAUUGUUAUUAGACAAAUUCUUUCCU